rnacentral:tRNA from 1 species
GCCGGCGUAGCUCAGUUGGCAGAGCAGCGGUUUCGUAAACCGCAGGUCGCUGGUUCGAUCCCAGUCGCCGGCUCCA